UACGUAGGGUGCGAGCGUUUAAUCGGAAUUACUGGGCGUAAAGCGUGCGCAGGCGGUUCGUUGUGUCGGCGGUGAAAUCCCCGGGCUCAACCUGGGAAUGGCGAUGGAGACUGCAAGGCUAGAGUUUGGCAGAGGGGGGUAGAAUUCCACGUGUAGCAGUGAAAUGCGUAGAUAUGUGGAGGAAUACCGAUGGCGAAGGCAGCCCCCCUGGGCCAAUACUGACGCUCAUGCACGAAAGCGUGGGGAGCAAACAGG
rnacentral:rRNA from 1 species